CCGAAAAUCCAUGAAAUUAGUGUUGCGUGUUUUUUUUAGCAUCGACGUCUUAUUAACACUUUUGUUUAUUAACACCAACGUUAUAAUACAGGCGUUUAUUUUUGGCAUUAGAGUGUGAAGUAAUAGACAAAAAAAUGUGCUAACUGAGCAUUAGAAGUGUGACCGGUUCAAGUAAUUAGUGCCACAUUUUUGUAUUAAAAAUCAGCCAGUAGACUGAAAAAGGCCGAAUGCAUAAAACACACUUGUUUUAAUGGGAAUUGCGCAAAAGGCCUUUCGAUAAGUCGUAAAAGGUUAAAUCACUCACUGCGCCAUUUAUGUUCGUUAAUGUUUGUCACUUACAAACAUUUAUGUUAGCUUUUCUAAUAAAUUUGCAAUAAUAAGGGGUAAACAAAAUGUUUAUUGGCGCUUUUUAUAUUUUUCAUCUACAUUAAAUUUGGCGCUCGCUCCACUUAGCGCCGGCAAUAAAUAAAUUAUGAGAGACUGUUAAAGGACGAUUAUUAACUGCGUAAAAAUAUACAGGUUGGGGAAUUGACGAUUGUGCAAUGUCCAAUAUUAUGGCAGCAACGCUUCUGGUCGUCUUACAAGUAUUUGCUGUUUUUAUUUUUUACAGAAUACCAAUAAUAAGUUCCGCAUGCUUCAUUUUGCUGAGUGACAGCACUGCUGAAUUUUAAAGCGCUAUUAUUUUCUCUUAACUUAUUAUGGCUGUUUAUACUCCUUUCGCAAGAUUUCAAAUUAUUCUUUUAUAGAGGCAGUUUCGCACAAUAUAGGGAUGUUUUUAAUUAUACAGGGCCUUACUUAAUGGCUUUAUUUUCACAAUUUAAGUCAGAUUUACAAAUAAUUAUAACAAUAAACAAAUAAGAGGCAAAGUCCAGAUGUAAAAAACCUAUACAAAUAGGUUUAUCUACCCUGCGCUACUUAACCUUAGAUAUCCAUAGUACCUUAAUUCAAGAGAAAAAUCUCUUACAAAACAUAACUAAAUAUAUAAUAUCAAUUAUCAAUAGGGCAUACAUUUCAAAAGAGCAAAUAGAAUGAAAACAGAUUUAAAAAGUUUGAAGUUUUAUUAUAGGUAUUUUUUUUUACUCAACUCUCCUGCGGGAAAAUAUAAUUAAAGGUUUUAUGUUUAAAGAUUCGUGGUUCCAAAAUCUUGAAACAAUCGGGAAUAGAGUUGUAGAGCUUUGAAAUAUUAUAGGAAAAACUUCGUCCAUAGAUGUUCGAUCAAACCUAUAGAUAUGCGAUUUAUAGAUAAUUUUAUUGUAAAGAUAUAUAAGUGUCUUAUAACAUAAUAACCUAUUAUAAAAAGAUGCACAGUACACUUUACGCCUAGUUUCCAUUCUAAGCCAGUUUGUUUCAGAGAGUUUAUAAGAAAUUCUUUCAUAUUUACGGAUUCCAUAGAUAUACCGCAAACAGGAAUUUUGCACUCCUUGUAUACGUUUUUUUUUAAUUUGUGUCAAGCAGUUUCCAUAAACGACAUCUCCAUAGUCAAACACAGAUAGAACGAGAGCGUUACACAAAAUUAUUUUUAAUCUUUGCAAUAGAAUGUGUCGAUUGCUGUAUAAUAAUUCAAGUCUAAGAUAAGCUUUUUCGAUAUAAUGAGAUACGUGCUGGUCGAAUCGCAUUUGACUGUCAAAAGACCAAAUAUUAACAAACAACACUUGCUUGGAUUUAGAUAAAGAGAAUGCUAUCAGUGGAUUGGGAGAAGAGAGCCAAUGGAAUAGCCGGCGAGAUCACCAGAUCUAACUUUUUUCUCUGGGGUCACUUAAAAACUGUUAUGUUUAAAACGAAACUAGCUUCACUCGAUGGUGUUCGGCAACGAAUUUUUACAGAAUGUGUAUCUAUUCCAAGAGAAGUGUUUCAUGUUAGAAAUUAAUUUGAAAAUAAAUAAUUCUUUUGUUUAGACUAAAAUAAUCUAGAAUUUAAGCAUCUUAUUAGUGAACACUUUAUAAAAACAGCCUUCCAUACAUUUCCUUGACCCUGUGUAAAAUUAGGAAAGAUUCUUGUGCAGGUGAAUACUAUUUUAAAAGUUCUUAAUUUAAGAUAUAACAAAGGGGGUGAAGCCAUUUAAAAUUCUGGGAUUGGGGUCCAUCCAGCCCAAGGGGUGACUCAGCCUAUAACCAAAAUAUAGUUGUUGCAGUUCUCCCUACCUGUAUAACAUUUGAAUCGGUGAGUUUGAAAACCGUACAAGUCCAAAAUUUGACAUUUGUAAGUAAGACAACCAUUUUGUUUAAAAUUUGUCUUUUCAUCGAUUGAACUUCAAAACCGUACUAGAUACUUAGUCGUUAACGUAGCACGGCUGCUAGUGAGGAGAAAAACCGUACAUGUCAAUGUUGUACGGUUUUUCAGCUCAACAACAAAAUAGUGGCCAGUUGCUUAUUUGCACGCACAGCGUUCACUUCGUGUGUAUGUUUAUCAUAAAAAAUAGCUUAGUAGCAGCGUUUUAUUAACAAUUUAAAGUAAAAUUAUGUCAUCCAGUGAUAAUGAAGAAGUUAGUGACACUAGUAGUGCCAGCAGAAAAAGGAAAAGGAAUGUUGAUCGUUGGAAAUAUAAUGCAAUAAAAACAGCACGUUCGCAAGGUCAGGCAUAUGUUUCUAAGACGGGUAAACAUGUCAAUGCAAAGACUGUAGGCUUUGCGUGUAGUUGUACAAAAAAAUGCAUGGAACAGUUUACUGAGGAAGAAAGAAAAAGUAUGUUAACUAAUCUACUUAGCCGUACGACAAAAAAUGAACAAGAUACUUAUUUACAAGGACUAAUGGAAGCUAAACAAAUCGAGAGAAAUCGCGUGAGAAGUGCGGAAAACAACCAAGAAAGAAAAUCAAACUUUUCGUACUUUGUCUUAAAAGGCUCAAAUAGAAUUUCCGUAUGCAAAUAGGCAUUUAUAAAUCUUCAUGCCAUAUCGCACCGGCAAGUUCAGCCCCUGAACACCCUACUUUUGGCAGGUAAAUCACCAAACGAUCUUAGAGGUAGGCAUAAUAAUAGACCUCGUACAUUAUGCGAUGAAUGGACUCAAAAAAUUAAAGAACACAUUCAGGCGUUUCCGGUCAAAGUUUCACAUUAUUCCUCAAAAACCGUACGUUAUUUAGAUGCAUCUUUGACUGUAAAGAAAAUGCAUAGCCUUUUUGUCGAAAUAUAUCCAGAGUUGGAAAACUUAGUUAAAUACGAAUUCUAUUUAAAGUAUUUCCACGAAAACUUCAAUUUGAAGGUUGAUGUAUGUUCGGAAUGCGAAAAAUAUGGAACGAGGCUUAAAGAUGUUAACCUUAACGAUAACGCAAAGAGAGUGGUUGCAGCUGAACUAAUAGUUCAUAAAAGGCGGGCGAAAAAGUUUUAUAACAAAAUUAAAGAAGUGCAAACCCUUUGUACUGAACGACCAGAAGUGAUGGGACUAGCCUUUGAUUAUAUGCAAAACAUGCCACUCCCGCAUAUUUCGGUCCCGGAAAUAUUUUAUUUUAGGCAGCUCUGGGUAUUCGCAUUCCAAAUACACUACGUUAAGGAUAAUACUGGCCAUUUUUAUACUUACCAUGAAGGUCAAGGUCAAAAGGGACCUAAUAAAGUGUGUACAUUUCUUAAUGAUUAAUGAUUGAUUGAGUAUGAGAUGGCGUGCGAGUAGUUAGCAUCGUCUUCGCACACGCUCCUUGAUUUUUGUUGUUUAUGGAGUCAUUACCUAAGUUUAUUAAAUAAUUUUCAAAGUUUUGUCAUAAGUGCAGCACAGUCAAUAUUAAUUCCAAGUAGUUGGGUUAAAAUAGUUCCAGUGCAGUGAAAUAUUGGUGUUUAACUGAUUCCAAGUUGUUGUUCCUGUCCGCCAUAAUGGGAUUCUCAUCUACUGACCUGCGCGAGAUUAAAUCGCAAGUAAUAAGCAUUUUUAAUGACAAAUUUCUGCAAGAAAUUGUCGAUAAAAUAGUCUCCCGCAUUGAAAAACAGUUUGAGGAGAAGCUAAACUUAUUAAAUAAUGAUUGCUCUGUCCUGGUGAAUAGGUGUACUAUUCUGGAGGAUAGAGUCCUUGAGCUGGGACGGGAAAACAUAAAACUGCGCACCACAACAGAUUGCGUUGAACAAUCCCAACGAAACAUGAAUAUACGCAUUUUUGGGCUGCCCAUGGACGUAAACGAGAACCUGCAUUCAAAAGUAACCGAAUUGUUUACCGAACAGCUAAAAGUAAAUAUUAAUAGAUCGGAUAUAAAAAAGUGCUUCCGUGUUUUGGCCAAGGCACGCAAUGAUAGUCCUCCUGCAGUUCUCGUGAACUUCGGUAGUGAUAUGGCUCGUGUUUCGGUACUAAAAGGUCGCAAAAAUUUGAAAAACAGUAAUAUAUUUAUAAAGGAAGAUUUAACUAAAAAUCGCCUUUUUCUACUUAAUAAGGCCAUUGACUUGUUUGGUGUCAAAAACGCAUGGGUCCUGAAUGGAGUUAUUUAUACUAAAUUUAACAAUAAAGUACAUCGUAUACCUAGUGAAAGUGACUUAAUUAAAAUAAAGUCUGCUUAGCUUAAUAAUGGACAGUAAUUUAAUACGUUUUGUUAUUGUUAUCAAUACUCAGCAAUUUCGAUUUUCGUAAGAGGCCAUUCGUUUUUGCCGUGUGAUCGGGAUUUUGGCUGUGCAAAACGGAAUUUUAAAAAACAUGAUCGAAUUUACACUCCAGAAGAAUAUGAGGACUUAAUAUUGACCUCCAGGAACAAGCAGCCAUUUACUAUGAAGCAGAUCCGAUACACUGAUAUUACUAAUUUUAAGAACUAGUGGCCUGAUUACUAUAAAAAAACAUGUAGUACUCGAGGUACCGGUGCUAAGAAGGAAACGUUUGCUGUGUCAAACUAUAGGCAGUUGCUGUAUGAAAGUUCAAAUCCAGGAUAUGUUAAAACGUGGGAAUAUAUAGAUGGUUUAUACUCCCAAACUUUUAAAUUGCUCAAAGAACAUAAGCACAGCCCACCUCUGCCCAAUAAUAAGGCAUAUAAAGAACCUGUUCCGAUUAAUGAAAAAAAAAAAUCUGGACUUCAAGAAGGUUCUGACUUUUAUGGAAUUUUAUUACCACAUCACUUCAUGGAAAACUACAAACGCUGAAAAGCAUGA